UGUCCAUUUGGCUGCUGGAGCUUCCUGUUUUGGGCAGGGCAUUUGAGUCUGCAAUGCUAUCCGGAUGAUUUGUUUCUGCUCGUUUAGAAGGCAGAAAGAAAGAAGGAAGUGGGGAAAAAAAGGAAAGCAUUUUGGAAUUUUCUGGAUUCAUCCAAGAUGAAAAUGGAGCUCCUGUGACCUCAUCUGGACUCCACACGCCUUAAUGACCAUGUCAAUACUGAGGCUGCAAACGAGCAAAGAUGUGCAAACAUUCAUCACUCACAGGGCUGUCAGACUAAAUGGCGGGUACCUCUCGUCUCUGGGUCCAGACCAAAGCGGCCCCCGAGUUGUGGAUGGUGGUCAGCUCCGGCUCAGGGUUCUUGGGGAAGAGGAGCGGCUGCUGGCACCGCCUCAAAGGGGCCGAGGGUUCCCCACACAAGGUUCCUGCAGCUUCUCCAGCUGAGAGAAAAAAAAACAAAAAAUGUGUGGAUAAGAGGG